UACGUAGGGUGCAAGCGUUAAUCGGAAUUACUGGGCGUAAAGCGUGCGCAGGCGGUGAUGUAAGACAGUUGUGAAAUCCCCGGGCUCAACCUGGGAACUGCAUCUGUGACUGCAUCGCUGGAGUACGGCAGAGGGGGAUGGAAUUCCGCGUGUAGCAGUGAAAUGCGUAGAUAUGCGGAGGAACACCGAUGGCGAAGGGCAAUCCCCUGGGCCUGUACUGACGCUCAUGCACGAAAGCGUGGGGAGCAAACAGG
rnacentral:rRNA from 1 species